rnacentral:rRNA from 1 species
GACGUAGGAGGCGAGCGUUGUCCGGAAUUAUUGGGCGUAAAGAGCUCGUAGGCGGUGUGUCGCGUCGGCCGUGAAAACCUGCAGCUUAACUGUGGGCGUGCGGUCGAUACGGGCAUCACUGGAGUUCGGCAGGGGAGACUGGAAUUCCUGGUGUAGCGGUGAAAUGCGCAGAUAUCAGGAGGAACACCGGUGGCGAAGGCGGGUCUCUGGGCCGAUACUGACGCUGAGGAGCGAAAGCGUGGGGAGCGAACAGG